rnacentral:rRNA from 1 species
GACGAACGCUGGCGGCGUGCUUAACACAUGCAAGUCGAACGGAAAGGCCUGGUUUCCCUUGUGUAUUGGGGUUACUAGCGUGGCGAACGGGCGUGUAUCACGUGAGUUUUCUGUCCCCAACUUGUGAAUAAGCCUGGGAAACUGGGUCUAAUUCCCGAUAGGACUGCAGGGUGGUGUCUGUGGUUGCAACGGUUUUGGUAGUGGUUGGGGAUGAGCCGGGGGCUGGUCAGGUGGUUGGUGGGGGAAUGGCUGACGAGGGGCGGGCCGGGUAGGCGGCCCGGGGUGGUGGGCGGGCACAUGGGAACGGAGACACGGCCCAGACUCCUACGGGAGGAAGCAGUGGGGAAUAAGGAACAAUGGGCGGAAGCCUGAGGCAGCGACGCCGCGUGGGGGAUGACGGCCUUCGGGUUGUGAACUCCUUUCGACCGAGAGGAAGCCACCUGGUUGGAAGGGUGGUGACGGUAGUGGUAGAAGAAGCACCGGCUAACUACGUG